GCAUGGAUGAAUUCUGUGUUACUUUGUCUUUAGUGAAUGCAGUCAGACACCAUGCAAAAACAUUUUCCCUUCUACUACUCCAAAAAGGAUGAGUGCUUCCCAGUGCCUCAUCUCCUUCACAUCAAAGGGAAUACAAUU
ensembl:snoRNA